GUGGAAGCGAGCCUGCUCGCGAUGCAGGCGCCGCGGUCUAUCAGGUCAAUACGGUGAUGCAAUCGCGAGCAGGCUCGCUCCCAC
rnacentral:misc_RNA from 1 species